GGGGAUAUAGUUUAAUUGGUAAAACUUUGAUUUUGCAUAUCGAUGUUUCAGGUUCAAAUCCUGAUAUUUCCA
rnacentral:tRNA from 2 species